GACGUAGGGCGCGAGCGUUGUCCGGAUUUAUUGGGCGUAAAGAGCUCGUAGGCGGCUCGUUGCGUCGGCUGUGAAAACCCGCAGCUCAACUGUGGGCUUGCAGCUGAUACGGGCGGGCUUGGAUUCGGUAGGGGAGACUGGAAUUCCUGGUGUAGCGGUGAAUGCGCAGAUAUCAGGAGGAACACCGGUGGCGAAGGCGGGUCUCUGGGCCGAUAUCGACGCUGAGGAGCGAAAGCGUGGGGAGCGAACAGG
rnacentral:rRNA from 1 species